rnacentral:rRNA from 1 species
AUUGAACGCUGGCGGCAGGCCUAACACAUGCAAGUCGAACGAGGGGCAGACGUGAGAGUAAUGUCUGGGAAACUGCCUUAUGGAGGGGGAUAACUCCUGGAACCGGUAGCUAAUACCGCAUACCAUCAGCUGUUCCCUGAUGGGAGUGGCUUGUUGGUAGGGUAACGGCUCACCAAGUAGACGAUCCCUAGCUGGUCUGAGAGGAUGACCAGCCACACUGGAACUGAGACACGGUCCAGACUCCUACGGGAGGCAGCAGUGGGGAAUAUUGCACAAUGGGCGCAAGCCUGAUGCAGCCAUGCCGCGUGUAUGAAGAAGGCCUUCGGGUUGUAAAGCACUUUCAGCGGGGAGGCGGUACCCGCAGAAUAAGCACCGGCUAACUCCGUGCCAGCCGCCGCGGUAAUAC